UGCCCAGCCCAGCCUACACCUAUUACUCGUUUCGCAUCUCGUCGGCAUCGCCAUCGCCGCCAUGCCGCAUCUGGCCGCCGCCGAUGCUUUCCUCAUUCUCGAGUUCAUCGCCGGCAACCGCCGCACUCCCCACGGCAUACUAGCCGCCCUCCUCGCCCUCCUACCCUCCUCCUUUUCGCCCCGCACCUCCCCGCGCCUCCGCAAAGCUCUAGUGCUCCGCGCCCUCCACGCCGCCCUCCACGCCGAAGAUGCCUCCUGUUCCUUCACCCUCCUCGGCAAAGCGCGGAGGGUCCUCGCCGACCCCAACGCCCCCGCCUGCUUCCCAAACCAGCUUUCUUUUGCAGACAACCAGGAGGACGACGGGGCUAGGGCCGCAGCCGCGGUGGCCGAUCUCAAGCGCUUCCUCGACCACGAGUGGGCCAACCUCCCACCUUCCAUGCUUGAGCUUGCCGCCGAUCGCCUCGCCGGACACAGGUCCCUCCAAACGUGGGCCGCCGCCGACCAUGCCAAUCGUACAAAGCUUCGCCUGCUCGUAGGGGAGUCCACAGAGCGUGAGAUUUUAGCCAAGCUUAUGCAAGAUGCAUCAGCUUCUCAUCCACCUAUCCUGCCGGAAGUUUCUGAUAACGCAAACGAUGCUAAUGAAGCUGAUGGUGCUCAACAAAACCAUGCGGCUUAUCAUUCUAAGCAAAGCAAUGAAGCUGACCGUGCUCAAGAAGGCAUGGCUGCGCAUCAAAAUGUGUCAAUGAAAGGAGCACAGGGGGUCCAACUUCCAGAGAAGUCUGUCCCUGCGUCUAAUAAGCCCAGUCUUAUGGAGAGACAUCCCAAUGCAAGUAUUUUUGAGUGGAAUGGCUUGGGUGACUAUGAUGAAGACAGGCUAGUAGGGAAGCGUAAGCUACCCCCUUUUGAGAGGAAACCACAUCCUUCCCCUGCAUUUGCACAUAAGAUGAGAAAGAAGUGGAGUGAGAUAGAGGAAAAAACCUUGUUGGAAGGGGUGGAGAAGUAUGGCAAAGGCAAUUGGAAAGAUAUCAAAAUGGCUUACCCUAACGUCUUUGAAGAGAGAUCAACGGUAGAUCUGAAGGAUAAGUUCAGAAAUAUGGAAAGGCACCAUGAAUAAACUUGAGGCCUGGUGGUGUUGUGCUUCUCUGCUCUGUAGAUACUAGUAUAAUAUGAUGGCGGCAGUAUGCAAAUGAAAACCCAUGUUUGGAAGUCCAACCAAAUACACCCAGAACCAUGAGGCAAAAGGUGCUAAUCAGUCAGAUCUCAGCAAGCGUCAAUGAGAUUGCCAGACUUCAAGGUAGGAUCUUUCUUUUUUUAUUCAAUUCAACCUAUUUUGCAAUCCCAACAGUGCAUGCACUCUAUUCUGUUGCGCCAUGUAGUGUUAUAGGACCUGUUAAAGUUGAACACUCUUAGAUCUAUCCAUACAUCACAAUCAAACUGAAUCUAUUUCGUCCAAAAUUAUUGGUAUUUUACUAUUCAAAGAUGCAAUCCAUGUUUCUUUAUGUGUGACAUAACAAGAUAAACUGAAUCGCAUAGCCAAAGGUGAUAACACAGAUUUUCUCCUUUUUUUGCUGAAUGUCAAAAACCUUAUUAUCAUCAUGGUAGAAUAUGUGGAUCCAAUGAUCCUUAAAAUUCUAAAAUCAGUUUCCCUUUUUACAGCAGUUCUAAAAUCAGUUGAGAAUAUAGCAGUUCUGAAAUGAGUUGAGAAGUAUCAUGCUUGAAUAAAUGUUAAGGUAUCUGGCAGAUGGACCUGGGACAAGCAACAUAUACAUAGGACAAAGUUGCAAUUAUAUCUGUAGUUUAAGCUUUAUGAGAAAAUCCACUUACUCUUUUCUUUAUUGCAAGAAAAUAUUGCAAAGUAUGCUUGGAUAUAUCUUGCUGCCCUCUGUGAUACAUGGAGUUCUAGGUUUGCCAGGAUAGGAAUAAGAAUGACAUUCAAUUUAUUUGCUACUAGACAUGCUGACCACAUGCCAUGGAAUGAACAAUUCGCUUGCAGGGACCUAGCUUGUGUUAAAUACCACUUUAUUUCAAAAGUGUGUUACAAAACAAUAGUUAAUACAUCAUAUAAAUAUGUAGUUGUUGGUCUGGAUAGUUCUACUAUGAUCAUCUUAUAAUGUUGUACCCCUUUCAAACCAACGUGGAGCUUUCCAUUUUCUCUUUUUCCCUUCUCUCCCUUUAUUCACUAUUUUCGUCCAAAAGAACACUCAUGUGCAUAUACUUCCCAAUAUUACUCACUGAUGUACACCUGAGUCAAAAAUGUAUUGUCGAUGCACUUAGGAAAAAAAACAGAAACAAGAACAAAAGAAUUUUCAGCAGGAAAUAAUCAUGAUUCAACAAUGCUUGCAAGCAUGUCUACAUAUGCACUCAAAAAACAAAAUUAGCAGCAAGACUACUGGAUGAUUAUUGCUAACUCAUUAUAUCAUAAUAUGUCAUGAUAUUAUCCUUCUUUCAUUUCUUUUACAUGUUGAAGGGAGCAUCAGUUGGAACUAUUUUUGGAAAUUGUAGCUUUCAUGACACAUCAGGUAGUAGAAAUUAUGUACUUGCUUUGUCAAUAACUUAUUUCUCAAUACUUCUCUCAUUUUACUCAAACCUGAUCACCUGGGUUAAGAUGGGAUGUCAAUUGGUCACUAAACCUUUAGGGACUCCAUAAUUUGAACUACAAAAUUGUAGAGCUCCAAUAUGGGUUUUAUCACAAGUUAAUAGUUAUGUUCUACACCUUCUCUUGAUAUACUUGAGAUGGAGAUCCUAUCCAGUAUUGAUUUGCAUACAUCUCAAACCUGUGCUGCUGUGCACAUUCAGAUAUAUGGGUUCCAAUAUGUGUCAUGUCUCAGAUUAAUACAACUUAUUUUAGUACAAUAGUAGAAUUUUAGAAGAUACGAAGGUGAAGUCACUUCAGCCUAAGCAUAAUAGAUCUCUCAUUUUAAUCCAUAAUAAGUUUGGUCUAUUUUUAUUUCCUCUUUUUUUUGCAGCAUUUUCUUCCCUUGCCAAUAGCGGAUUAUUUGUUCCAUUGGAUUUUGAAUGUUGCUCCAUCGAUUCCUGCUUACUUACAGUUAUGUUGUUUCUAAUGUGCAUUGCCAAUCACAGAUUGUCUGAUUAGGCACAUACUAAUAUCCUUUGUUCAUUGACAGCUUCAGCUAGGGAAGUAAGCACGCAACUUUGUACUAAUGGACUUCGAGAUGAUCAGUAUAAAGAGGAGACAAUAAUAUAUCAUCGCAGCUGGCAUCAUUUUUGCUCAAGUGAACCUUCAGUGUAGAUGUACUUUUACUUCAUGCCUAUAGUGCCGUUCCUGCUUAUGUUUAUUUUUUUUCCUUCAAUUAUUUUGGUUGGCAUUCCUCAUAGGAUAUUCAUGAUCUGUGUACAAGAAUCCAUGAUCUUAAUACCAAAAGGUAGAUAUGGAAAUCAUGUUUCCUUAAAGUUAAUUGA